rnacentral:tRNA from 1 species
GUCGGGGUGGCUCAGCCUGGUAAGAGCGCCUGACUCAUAAUCAGGAGGCCGCGGGUUCAAACCCCGCCCCCGACA